rnacentral:lncRNA from 1 species
UAAUAUAUAUUUACCAAAUAAAACCAAUCUCUCUGACACAAACUUUCUGUCUGCUUAAUGUUUUGCUGUUAUAGGUUCUUGAGCAAAGGCAAGCUGAGGAUUCUUUUCAACCACUAGAUCACCGUUCAAAAGAGACUGCGCUUCACUCGGCUUGUCUGAAUCAACCACAUUCAGGGGCAGAGCCUCAGUUGUCUCGCUAGGCAAGGUACUAUCCUCUUCAUUGGUUGCUGGUAUUGCAAUUUUCUGUUCCUUUGUAGCAUUGGAUGACUUGACAUUUUUUUUUGUCGCACUAGAUACGGUCUUUUCAACCUUCCUUGCUUCAGAUGAAGCGGGCACAGUCUUUGAAUUUGAUGAAUUGAGCCUCCUAGUAGCAAGUUGAGCCGGAAGAGAUCUUCGUAGUGGCUUCGUUGGAUGGACAAGAGUAACUCCUUUAGUAGGAGGAUUAUUGCCCUGAGACAUUUUCUCGUUGAAAGUUAAACGACCUUGUUUAGAACUGCUGCUAGUGUUUCCAUCCGACUCAGAAUUGAUUGAACUCUUCUUGCGACCAAGCUUGGGAGAUUUAGGUCUUGUAGUCGGUAUCUACAUUAGUAAUGUCCAAAUACUAAAAAAAUUUAACUUCCCAAAUGAGAUAACAAAACUUGCCGACUCAAAACAAAAGACAAGGAUCAAUUGGUCCAGACACCAGAAAAAAAGCAUAAUAAAUAAACAAAAGCUAUUCUUGUUCACAAUGACAUGUCAAAUGAGCAAAAUGAGGAAGGCAAACUCAAUUCAAGAGUUAAAAAGGCAUUAGAAAAGAUUUUCAAACACUUCCACAACAUUCAAAUAUUUAUUGAUAGAAAGUGGUUAUGAAAAGAAUUUGCACUCAGCCACAAGAUAUUCGAGGCCGGCAAAUUGAACACUCCUACGGCCCCAUUUAAGCAUCUAACUGAUAAAAGGGCUAGUUUAAAAUAUUGACCAAGUCUAAGUCACAUCAGUUAAGAUGCAGUCAAUCAGCUUAUUAACCUUCAGUUUGUGCAUAAGACAAAAAGACCACACCUAACGGAGUAGUUAAUAAGUGAAUUUACAUAAAACCAGUUGAGUUCAAACAUUUUGUAAUCACAGUUCAAAUACCUAUGAGUGAAAAGAAAACUUUCAUCAGCUAAAAGAACUCUUUACCAAUUGUUUUCAGAAGAUUGUUGUAUGCUUUGUCUCUCUGAAGCCACAUGCAAUAUGUGGGUGUGUUUGCAUCUGUGCACAUUCACAUAGCAGCAAACCCAUAGAAAAACAUACACUACAUAUGGCUUCGAAGCACAUAAUAAACUUCUGGAAACAAUUAGUGCAGACACAUGCAUGUAAUCAAAUGGAGAGGGGUACUCCCAAACACACACACACAUAUAUAUAUAUAGAGAGAGAGAGAGAUGUACCUUCUUAAGCUCCACCUUAGGAGGAGGCUCCUGAUAGAAAGUUGGCAAAGGAGUUGCUUUAAAUGUUAGACUCUUCCGAAGCAUCUUCAUCUCGGCUUCUUGUGACUCCUAUACAAGGAAUGUAAGUUUGAAUUAAAAGGCAAAAUAUACAACAUACAUUUCAGCCCCAGAUACAAAAGAAAAAAAAUUCACCUUGGAUUUUGCUUGCAAGUUACUCUUUUCCAUCUCCUUUGCAUGAAUCUUUUCCUCAACUUUACUGUAGAACUGCUCGCAAAAAUAUCAAUUUUUUUUUGUUAACUAUGAGCUUAUUCAAAAGAAACCUGGGCAAGGACAUAAGUAUGCUUAAAGGAGUAUUAACUAUUUACCUCUCUUCUUCUCUCAGCUCUUUCACCACACCUGAAACUGAAUCCAUAAUUUGGAAGUGUUCCCACCUUGCGAGGUUUCGCGUCUUCUGCAUUAGUACUUCUAAGUGGAUUAAGGAUAAACCAAAAUAAUACAAAGCAUCACACUCAACAUUUAAAUGUAAAGAAAUCUGCAGCAGUUCCCAACUUCUCAUAAAGAAAGGAUACGGAGACAAUUCUGAUUCUCCUUGAACUUUAUCAACAGCUCCUUUUUUCAAUGAUUUUGGUUCCGUCUUCUCCCUUUACCCAAUAUAUCACAGUCCACCAAUCAGAUAAUUACAGUAAAUAAUUUCAUCACGUGUUUUAAUGAUGGAAUAUUACACAUAAAAGCAAGCAUUACAUACGUAGCUACUUCAGAAGACGCUGCAUCGGAAUUUGAAGGGUGCUGAGAGAAAUAAAGCUCAAAAACUAUCAGUGAUCACCUAGACUAUAAUUUUUAUUACCAAAGUAUAAAACGAUAAAACAAACAAAACGAAGCACGACUAUCGACAAUAGUUUACCUUGACCAAUUGAGUCUGGCGACCAUUGAAUGAUUUGUUUUUAAUAGGCUGUCUUGUGUGAGAAUCUAAAGCCGAUGUACCAAUUGAAACAGCAGAUGAUGUCUCUUUAUCUUUAGCAUUUUUGUUCCUUUUCACCAAACUUGCAUGAACAACACUGGAAGUAGUGGUCUUUGCACUCUUAUUCUUAAUAGGACCCUUAGAUGCUUUUAAUUGUCCUGUUUGAUUUGUGAUUUUCACUUCCUCUUCCUAGAAUCGAGCUAAUACAUGAGAUCCAAAAAAAAAAACGAACUUGACGAAACCAAGUCUAGGAAAACAAAAUCCUCUCACCUUAGAAAGGUUCACAUUGUUGCUAUCGGAGACUUCAAUUACUGCCACGGAUGAGUUCCGAGUUUCAAAAUUGGCAUUUGAAGCUACAAUUUCUGUACUUUCAAUAACAUUGAUGUCUAAAUCAUUCAAAACAACGCUAUCUUCUCCAGAAUUAGAAGGGUCCUGGUGAACACUAUUUCGGUGAACCACUUCGAGGCCAUCAACAACGGGUGAAAGAGUACUUGUAUCCAUCAUCAAUCACACUAAGCUAAAAGUUACACAGAAACAAUGAAAUGCAGCUCAGAGAUCAACACUAAAUACAAGAAAAAAACCAUUAGAAACAAAUUUAUACUUGUUAAACCUCAACAUGUGUUAACCAUCCCUAUUGCUAUUAACCAGAACAAUUUCGAAAAGCUUCUAAACAAAUUCUCUCAUUUUUCAAUUAUUGAAAUAAAAAAAGCCGAGUACAAGAGGCUCCUAUGGGGCCUCGGCAGAUAUAUGUACACAAUCUUACUCGAAAGACUAAACCUGCCUAUGUGUGCUUAAUGUUGUACAUAGCCGAUCCUAAGCAGGAUAGAAGGUGAGGGUUGUAUUAGGUAGUCGACAACCAAUGUAAAAUUUUGUCGAAUUUGUAUGAUAUGAAUUAAAAAUAUGAGUCUUACCGAAAAGACUAUAUCGAGAUUUGAACACAUGACCUGGAGGUGAGAAAAUAGUGUAAUGGUAAGUUAGUUACCAUAAUUAAAAGUACCUGGUGAAUACGACAUCGUAUGGAUUGAAGAAGACAAGAGUUGAAGAGAAGAAAAGAGAGAUCUGGCUUCCUCGGAUCAUCCAAACACACCAAACUCAUCAUUUUAUUUUAUUUAUUUAUCCUUUUUUAUAAUUAUCAUUAUUUAAUUAUUUAAUUUACUUAAUGAAUAAUUAUAAUACUAUGGGAAUAGCGGUUAUCAAAUGCAGGUUUGGUUGGAAUGGGAAUGAGUCACAUGUAGAGUGCUUUCUAUUAUUUCCUUAUUAUCAUAAUAAACAUUCUAAUGCCGUUGGUUUAAGGGGUAAAUGUUUGAUUUCCCUUAAUAAAGUUUAAAGUUCGAGUUUUGUGGAUGGAAAAAAUGUCCGUUAGAAUAGUUAACUCCAUGAACUUGUGGAUGUUCCCGACUCGGACAAGAUUACCGAUAUUUACACACUAUUAGUACUGGUGUGGUGGUAAGUACUUCGUGUCUAUCUGCCUAUAUUUUUAUUUUCUGAUGUUAAAGAUUUAAGUGUUUUUUAUAUUUUAUUUUGGUGAAUCAUAAUUUUUUUUAUUAAAUGUAAUUUAUAUUAUAAUUUUUAUAUGGUACACUUUAUAUUUUCAAAUUAAUGUGAUUUAAGUCUUAAAUGUAUUUUUUUUAUUUUAAUUAUCAAAUCAAGGUAAUGAGUGAUUAAUAUGUUGACGAUUAUUACAUAUGAUUAUAUAUUUUUUGUAGAAUUAAAAAGGGUUAAAAACAAAAUAGGAAACGAAAAAUUAUACCAUAUAAUAGUUAUAUCAUGUUUUCCCUUUGUAUAAAAUAUAAAUAGUACAUAUAAAAAGUCUAUAUAUAAUCAUUGUAUUAUUUAAAAUUAACUUUAAACUACUUUUUAAAAAAAUCAAUAAUAAUUAAAUAUGAAUAUUAGAUAAUACAAUAACUACAAAUAAAACUAAUAAGUAUAUACUUCUUUCUCUCAUCAAAAAAUAUAUGAACUUUUUAUGAGUUUCUCUAAUUGAUAAUAAAGAAUUGACAGAGAGCGGUUAGCAUUGAAGCUGUGUUGAUGAUUGAGAGGUGGAAUGUGGGGUACCAUCAAAUAACACACGGUUUUUGCGGUUUCCUACCUCAUCCACCUGCACACGGUUUUUAAACUAUCAUCCAUCAAUCAUAAACUUUAUCUAUUAUGACGUAUCGAUUGUCAUUUCGUGUAUGUCGACCUAUAUUCUUAUUUUUACUAAAUAUUUAAUUUUCACAUAUUUUAUUUUAGAGAAUUAUAUUACGUCUUGUGAGUAUAGAGAAUAUUAUAGUUUGUGUAAUAGAAAAAAUGAGAUAAUGAAUUAUGAUAUUACUAGAACUUACAUUAAAAAUUGCAUUGGUAAUUUGAUAUUUUGUGUGCAUGUCACUUACUUUCUGUGAUCUGGAUGUUUCUAAAUGUGCUAUCACUGAUUCUGGAAUUGCAGUCCUGGCUGAUGCAGAACAGUUCAAUCUGCAGGUUCUUUCUAUAUCAGGCUGCACUUUGGUUUCUGAUUGGAGCUUGCCCGCAUUGAGAAAAUUAGGUCACACUCUCUUAGGACUAAACAUCCAGCAUUGCAAUGCAAUCAGCAGCAGCACAAUUGACAUGCUUUUGGAACUUCUUUGGAGGUGUAAGAUCCUCUCCUGAGCGGGAAGACUUAAUCUCUCUCUCUCUCUCUCUCUUUCUCUGUAGAUUAAGUCAGGAUCGGAACGGAAAUCUCGUACUGGUUUUAUGAUGUGUUCAGCAGUAGUUUUUGGGUCCAUUACAGUGGGUCUUGAUCAUCCAGUAACUCGGUUUGAACCUUUUUUCAGAGCAUGCAGCCAUUCAACUUUUUUACUUUAGCAGGUUUCCUUCAAUUCGGAAUCUGUUCAAAGUUUUUUUGGUAUCCAAGCCACUUUUUAAAUGACUGCAUUGCCUCUGAUAACAUAGUUACCAGGUUCUGGAGUUAAAAUCUUUCUUACUAUGAUGUUUUUUUUUGCUUACCAAACAUAUCAAUGUUUGGGUCUCACUUUUAUUCAAAGUGUCAAUAUAUGUUGUUAGGGUUGCUGAAGUUGUCAAGUGUGGAGUUAUGAAGCCUUGUUUUGAGGGGAUUUGGCUGUGGCAGCAAGUUAUACAGUCCUGCCAUCACAAUCUUCUUCUCAUUUUGGGAAGGAUUGUUUUUUAUACCAAGUCCCUAGUUUUUUAAGGCUUCAUUUUUUAUGAGCUUGUAAUUGCAACUUCUUCCUUAUUGUGCAAUGAUGUUAUACAUUCUGCCCUUUGUGUUGUAUGCUAUAUUAUGAGAAGUAAUGGAAUAAAAUUUGUAGUUUCAUUGUAAAACUGGAUAAUCUUUCUGUACUUUGAUUGUAUUGGUUUGUCCACAAAAGGUAGCUCAAUUGGAUAAACUGGAAAUAUUAUUGUAUUAGGAGUCACUCUUAUAAUAUCUAAUUGCUAUUUAGAUUACCAAUAUGGCAUUGAUCUAGUGGCUCGGUAGAUUCAUAGGAUGACUAAAAGGUCAAGGGAGUUCUUAUACCUAACUUCAAUUGAUUAAAACUAUUGAUAUCAUCAAAUUCAUUAACCCACCAUGGUUUUAUAUAAUAUGUUUCAACUUUCAACUAAUACAAGGCAAGUGGUGCUUUAUAUUGGUGGCCAUUAUGAGACUUAAAAAUGGAACAUGCACUUCACAUGCAUUGUCAUGUAAAACUAUGAUUCAUGCACACUCACCAAAUAUAUAAUAAAAGAAAAAAGAUCAUUCAUGAUUCAAGCACCAUUAUGAAAGUCUCCACAUGACUUCUAAGUCUCCACAUGACUUAACAUAAGAAGCUUCCCUCUACAUUCCUGGUGAAGGAGAACACAUUUUCUGUUCCAAAAAAUGUGUCACUAUUCCAUGUAUCACUUGGUAUAAUUUGUUAAGAAAAAUAUAUUUAAAUUAAAAUUUUAAUAAUUAAGUAUUUUUUUGACCAACCAGAACAAAUGUCGCAUGGAGUGAGACAUUUUGUGAGACAGAAGAUGUAUUCCUUUUUUUCCCUCCUUAAAUAGUAAAAGCCUAUACAAUAAACACAGGAGUUAAGUUACAACACAAACAGCUUCUUUCAUGUCAUAAUGCCAAUUGAUGUAUUGAACCAUGAAAAGGGUAAACUUUCUCAAAUUUUUCAUUAACAUAAACUAAAAUAACUUGCAGAACAGUUACAUACAUUGUUGCAAGCAAAAAAGAGAAUCAUAAGGACCAAACCAGCAAUCUUGAGAGUAAUAAAAACAUACAAAAAGAAACAAUGCUGCUGAGAUAAGAUGACAACACAAACCAGGCAAAUCUGCAAACUCUUGAUGUCAAAUAAUCUUUCAUAUGCUUUUAUAAUAUAUAUUUACCAAAUAAAACCAAUCUCUCUGACACAAACUUUCUGUCUGCUUAAUGUUUUGCUGUUAUAGGUUCUUGAGCAAAGGCAAGCUGAGGAUUCUUUUCAACCACUAGAUCACCGUUCAAAAGAGACUGCGCUUCACUCGGCUUGUCUGAAUCAACCACAUUCAGGGGCAGAGCCUCAGUUGUCUCGCUAGGCAAGGUACUAUCCUCUUCAUUGGUUGCUGGUAUUGCAAUUUUCUGUUCCUUUGUAGCAUUGGAUGACUUGACAUUUUUU